CCUGCCCUUGGGUCCGGCAUAACCCCGGGAAACUGGGGAUAAUUCCGGAUAACGCACAUAUGCUGGAAUGCUUUAUGCGUCAAAUGGAUUCGUCUGCCCAAGGAUGGGUCUGCGGCCUAUCAGGUAGUAGUGGGUGUAAUGUACCUACUAGCCGACGACGGGUACGGGUUGUGAGAGCAAGAGCCCGGAGAUGGAUUCUGAGACAUGAAUCCAGGCCCUACGGGGCGCAGCAGGCGCGAAAACUUUACAAUGCGGGAAACCGUGAUAAGGGGACACCGAGUGCCAGCAUCAUAUGCUGGCUGUCCGGGUGUGUAAAAUACACCUGUUAGCAAGGGCCGGGCAAGACCGGUGCCAGCCGCCGCGGUAACACCGGCGGCCCGAGUGGUGAUCGUGAUUAUUGGGUCUAAAGGGUCCGUAGCCGGUUUGGUCAGUCCUCCGGGAAAUCUGACGGCUUAACCGUUAGGCUUUCGGAGGAUACUGCCAGGCUUGGAACCGGGAGAGGUAAGAGGUACUACAGGGGUAGGAGUGAAAUCUUGUAAUCCCUGUGGGACCACCUGUGGC
rnacentral:rRNA from 1 species